rnacentral:rRNA from 1 species
UCAGGCCUAACACAUGCAAGUCGAAAAAAAAACACCUCCGGGUGGAAGAGAGUGGCGAACGGCUGAGUAACACGUGGAGAACCUGCCCCCUCCCCCGGGAUAGCCGCCCGAAAGGACGGGUAAUACCGGAUACCCCGGGGUGCCGCAUGGCGCCCCGGCUAAAGCCCCGACGGGAGGGGAUGGCUCCGCGGCCCAUCAGGUAGACGGCGGGGUGACGGCCCACCGUGCCGACAACGGGUAGCCGGGUUGAGAGACCGACCGGCCAGAUUGGGACUGAGACACGGCCCAGACUCCUACGGGAGGCAGCAGUGGGGAAUCU